GACGAACGCUGGCGGCGUGCUUAACACAUGCAAGUCGAACGAAGUGGCGAACGGGUGAGUAAUACGUGGGUAACCUGCCCUCCUUUUUGGGAUAAGCCUUGGAAACGGGGUCUAAUACCGAAUAACGGGGGAUGGGCUCGCGGCCUAUCAGCUUGUUGGGGGGGUGAUGGACUACCAAGGCGUUGACGGGUAGCCGGCCUGAGAUGGGGACCGGCAACAUUGGGACGUAGAGACGGCCCAGACUCCUACGGGAGGCAGCAGGGGGGAAUAGUGCACAAUGGGCGCAAGCCUGAUGCAGCCCUGCCGCGUGUGUGAAGAAGGCCUUCGGGUUGUAAAGCACUUUCAGCGGGGAGGCGUUACCCGCAGAAGAAGCACCGGCUAACUCCGUGCCAGCAGCCGCGGUAAUUC
rnacentral:rRNA from 1 species